CGAACGGGUGAGUAACACGUGAGCAGCCUGCCCCGAAGACCGGGAUAACAGCGGGAAACCGCUGCUAAUACCGGAUGCCCCCACCGGGCCGCAUGACCUGGUGAGGAAAUGGAUUCCGCUUCGGGAGGGACUCGCGGCCUAUCAGCUUGUUGGUGGGGUAAUGGCCUACCAAGGCGUCGACGGGUAGCUGGUCUGAGAGGACGAUCAGCCACACUGGGACUGAGACACGGCCCAG
rnacentral:rRNA from 1 species